ACGAACGCUGGCGGCGUGCUUCACACCUGCAAGUCGCACGGAAAGGCCCUGCUUGCAGGGUACUCGAGUGGCGAACGGGUGAGUAACACGUGGGUGAUCUGCCCUGCACUUCGGGAUAAGCCUGGGAAACUGGGUCUAAUACCGGAUAGGAGCCAUUUUUAGUGUGAUGGUUGGAAAGUUUUUUCGGUGUAGGAUGAGCUCGCGGCCUAUCAGCUUGUUGGUGGGGUAAUGGCCUACCAAGGCGGCGACGGGUAGCCGGCCUGAGAGGGUGGACGGCCACAUUGGGACUGGGAUACGGCCCAGACUCCUACGGGAGGCAGCAGUGGGGAAUAUUGCACAAUGGGCGCAAGCCUGAUGCAGCGACGCCGCGUGGGGGAGGACGGCCUUCGGGUUGUAAACUCCUUUCGCUAGGGACGAAGCUUUUUGUGACGGUACCUAGAUAAGAAGCACCGGCUAACUACGUG
rnacentral:rRNA from 1 species